GCAAACUUGGUCAUUUAGAGGAAGUAAAAGUCGUAACAAGGUUUCCGUAGGUAAGUUGGAAAAUUACAAUCUUUCCAUGCUUUUAAAUAAUGUGCUAACUUUUUCUCUUUUAGGUGAACCUGCGGAAGGAUCAUUAUCGAGUGUUAACCUACACCCCGUAAAAAAGGGUGUGGUACCUCCCGUCCUUUGCAGGCCCCUUUUUAUUGGGGGGCUUUUUAAGACUUUCUGCUUCGGCGGGGUAACUCCCGCCGGAACACCCUCAAAAAAAUCUUGAAUCAAAAAACCGUUCAGUCUGAGAAAUUUUUUAAAAAUUAAAUAAAACUUUCAACAACGGAUCUCUUGGUUCUGGCAUCGAUGAAGAACGCAGC
rnacentral:misc_RNA from 1 species